rnacentral:tRNA from 1 species
GCGUUCGUAGCUCACAUGGAUAGAGCAACGGACUUCGAAUCCGUAGGUAGCAGGUUCGAUUCCUGCCGGACGCA